UCGACCGACCUCUCUCUCUCUCCCUCAGGCGAAGAGCUUCCCGGCGGCUCUCUCUACUCCGGCAAAGUGCGUCCUGGCGGUUAUCUCUCCUCCGGCGAAGUGCAUCCCGCCUCCUCCACUUAACCCCGGUCGGCGGUGCCCCUUGCCUCCGCACGGCGCGACCGUCCGGGGCGAGGCAGGGCCCUCCCGCACCGGCAGCACGACCGCUGACCUCCAUUAGCCGCAGCCCUGCCGGCGAGUACGGUCACCGUCGGCGUGCAGUGCAGAGGGUGGCUUCGUCGGCCGUUUGUGCUUCUGCUCUCGGUUGGUUCGGCCGUGAGCGUCGGCGUGGGGCAUCACAUCUUCUGGCCGGGGGGGUUUCGCUGCAGGUGGAGUUCGCCGGUGCCACCUCGUAAUGCCCUGAAGGUCCAUCUCUUUACCUUCUUCUCUGCUGUGGGCUGUGGCGGAGGCGGGGGCUCUGCUGCUGGAGGGGAUUUGGUGGCCAGCCUGCACCGUCCAUGCGUCGACGAACUCCUCCUCCACUCCACUCCAGCGUGAGGCAGCGAAGCGGGGCAUUUAUUUUAGGAGGUCUCUUCCUCCAGAUCUCCAUCCAACUCUCCAACGCAGGCAUAUGCUCAGGUCUCUCCAACGCAGGUUGUCAAGGGGGAGUGAGUUCAAACAAACAAGAGGAUAAGACAUCUGAGAUAUUUGUCAACUCCCUAGCAUUUUCGAAGGAUACUGAAGGGGCCUCAAGAAAAUAUGUGUCAUUAUCAGACUUUGGGAAUUAGUGUAUUGUUAUGCCAUCAUUGAGAAAGUUCCUUAGAAGUUUCUUCAUACCCCUUGAUUCAGCGAUGUGUCAUCCUGUAGAUAAUUCAGAGAAAUAUACUUCCUUAAAACUACGUUGUGAUGGUAGUGUGUUCAGAAAUAAUUUAUUGCUGGUCCAGUAUAACAUUUGGUAUAUAGCCGCAUAUUUCCUUUUCUAGUGUCCACGUCCAUGUAAUGUAUUUUGCUUA